UCGGGAAUUUUGGGCAAUGGGCGAAAGCCUGACCCAGCAACGCCGCGUGAAGGAUGAAGUCUCUCGGGAUGUAAACUUCGUAAGAAUAGGAAGAAUAAAUGACGGUACUAUUUGUAAGGUCCGGCUAACUACGUGCCAGCAGCCGCGGUAAUACGUAGGGACCAAGCGUUGUUCGGAUUUACUGGGCGUAAAGGGCGCGUAGGCGGCGUGGUAAGUCACUUGUGAAAUCUCCGAGCUUAACUCGGAACGGUCAAGUGAUACUGCUGUGCUAGAGUACAGAAGGGGCAAUCGGAAUUCUUGGUGUAGCGGUGAAAUGCGUAGAUAUCAAGAGGAACACCUGAGGUGAAGAUGGGUUGCUGGGCUGACACUGACGCUGAGGCGCGAAAGCCAGGGGAGCAAACGGGAUUAGAUACCCUCGUAGCCCCUGAGCGGGCUGGCAAGGCGCAU
rnacentral:rRNA from 1 species